UACGAAGGGGGCUAGCGUUGCUCGGAAUCACUGGGCGUAAAGGGUGCGUAGGCGGGUCUUUAAGUCGGGGUGAAAUCCUGGAGCUCAACUCCAGAACUGCCUUUGAUACUGAAGAUCUUGAGUUCGGGAGAGGUGAGUGGAACUGCGAGUGUAGAGGUGAAAUUCGUAGAUAUUCGCAAGAACACCAGUGGCGAAGGCGGCUCACUGGCCCGGUACUGACGCUGAGGUGCGAAAGCGUGGGGAGCAAACAGG
rnacentral:rRNA from 1 species